AAAAUACUCGAAAGUCCCUGUACUAAAAUUGAAACGAUACACUAAAAUAUACCACGGUCCCCGCGUAAGGAUGACGCGCAAAAUCGUGAAUCGUUCCGUGUUUUU
rnacentral:snRNA from 1 species